AAGAAUUAUUAAAACUAAUAUAAAAUGGCGGUCUUAAUUAAUUAAAGAAACUCGCCUUCUAAUCGUAAAUACUCGCUCCUAUCAAACUUUAUUUCCAGUCUAUAUACCGCCGUUUCAGAACUAAAAUAAACACAAUUCUAAUUCUGCUAACAACAAAAAUCAGGUCAAGGUGUAACUCAUAAUAAAGGCUAGGUAAGUUACAUUAAAAAAAAUUUAAGGAAAAUUUCUAAACAACAAAAUUAGAAAAAGAAUUUAUAUGUACAAUCUAGUUAAAAUCUAGAAUAGAAAUAUACUAUAAAGAUGC
rnacentral:rRNA from 1 species